rnacentral:rRNA from 1 species
UAAGAAGUCACGGCGAGGAGGUGUUGGUGACUAAUAAUAAGUGGUCGAGGUCAAGCCCAGGUAGGAGGUGGCGAGUAGAAGGACGACGUCGGACGUCCAAGAGAGGGAGGGAAAGUACGUCACUUAGUUGUAGAGAAGAGUCGUCGCCUUCUUGUCUUCUUCUCUUCACAAGAAACGAGUAGAAGGAGGAGAACGUCAACGUCUUCUUGUCUUCACCGGUCGGUACCUUCGUCGUCGUCCUCUACUCCUCUCCGGGAACGAGGUAGUAGUGGGAGGAGGACCGGAGAUAGUCUUGCCCCUAAGUUCCAAUUUAUGAACGCUACCUUGGCAGCUACAAUUGCCUGUUGGUCGACGAUUCCGCUCGUGCCCUUUGACCUCUCGGACGAAGAAGUAAAAUCCAUAGCUUAAGUCGCUCACGAACCGGAUGAAGCGGUAGAGAUUCUUGAAUCAGUGGAUGGAGUGGUCACACGACCUGCUUUCGUUGUAACUGCGUCGUUCCUUACACAGGUGAACCUAACCGUGUUGUAAGAAGUGCGGUGAACAGCCUCGAAAGAACCGUCUGUGUAUAACCCCUUCUAUGUUCUGUUAGCACUAAAAAGAGAGCUAAAUGUGGCAACCCUACGAACACGACUGCAAAAGCCGCUAUGAGGGUAGCAACUACGUUAGGAGGUUGGUAGUACUCUAGGUGGCACAACGGCAGAUGCGUCCUGAGAUAGAAUGUCGGGAACCGUUGCCACCGUAGUUCGGGACGUGAAGACGGAAGCCGCGCCUGGUCAAACUGUACCGACUGGGUCGCCUCGCGCACUUCUUCCCUAGGAAGAAGUUGACCAUGAAGAAGAGCUAGUUGCAACCGAGGGAAGAUAGCUGGUGACACUAACAGACCCACGUCCUAUUACAGCCAACCCCCUAGCCGAAGCGGCAUGGCUACUAGGAGUACUCGGAGCCAAAGCGCCACAAACAUUGGUCAUCCUCCCACAUGUCCAUGUUCUGUGAUCCUCUCUCGGGGUACUGUUCUCACAGGGUCCAACAACAACGUCGACGUUCCUUAACGGUAUACCUCAACGGACUAUUAUCGAGUCGGAACGUAGUGGAUGGAAGUGGCGGUUAUCUCUGAUGGAAGUUCCAAGUGGUAUGGUGAGUCAAGUCUAAAAACCUGUUCCGACGAUAACACGGUGGGGGCUGCGGCCCCUUCUUCCUGCACCUCCGCCCAGGCACCUCCGAUACGUGCUACGGAGUCCACCUCCUCCACUUCUACGACGACGCCAACACGGGACGCACCCACAGGUACCACCAGAAGAAGUACUAGUGUCGCGUCUACAGCAGCUGCGACUAACUCGUCCCGUACCGCUACCUGUUGGUGCAGCCCGGUAAGUGGCACGGUGGUCGGAGGGAACGUCCGAAGCUGCACCAACGUUACGAGCACAACUAGGGGCACAUGCUGCGACACGACCACGGGAAGCGUGCCGUGCGGUGGCCGGAGCUGGCCCCGGAGAGCGUAGGCGUCGCGGAGCCACAGCCAGAGCGCGACAGGUACGAGCGGUACCGGAUGAGCCGCAAUGAACUCUCCUUGGCCGAGCGCCACCGGCGUUGGCCUCGUUGUCACUCGUAGUACACCGUCCGUGGCCGCAUGUGUUAUGACCCGCGGCCCCUCCACAAGCGCCGGUAACCGCACUAGCUCGAGAAGAUGCUGGUUCGCGGGCUGUCGUACUCCUCGGACACGUGGCGUGAGCGCGUCGAACGACAGCGUCGCCCCUUGAUGGAAUUGAGCCGGCACAACCCGAGGCAGCGCAGACGGUGCCCUACCUAGGGCCUCCUGGAGCUGCUGCCGGUGGACCUGAUGAAGAAGACCGACUACCGCCACGAGCCGCGGGACUUGGACGAGGUUAAGAACGAGACGAGGUAAGGCCGGUACUCCGUCUCGCCGUCCAUCGGGCCAAAGCGCUGUUGUCAGGCACAAGUAAACCUCAACUCUUUAAGCGCGUAUAUUGAGUGGGGACGGUGCAGGUGGUUUUACAAGUAUUUGAGUUACAAUCACGUUUAAUUAAGCCCAGUCGACUGGGGUUACGGUAAAAGAGAACUUUGGAAAGAGAACUUUCAAACGUAACUAUUUUUUUUGAUGGACCCUGCCUCUUAAAGUAUUUGAGUUCGUGAGUGUGAAUAUACUUGUUUUAGUCCUUCGCUACUUUAUUAUCCGCGGUUCUGUGCACUUCUUCGAUACCGAGUAGCCAAAUAUUAAAAACUUCGCACCUUCUUAGCAUAUACAGGAUUUAACGUUAAGGAUCAUUUAUUUUCAUCUUACACGAUGUUUAGCUAAAUAAAUUGCCAUCGUGAUGCGCAGUCAGUCGACUAGGCUAGUGGACCAACUAGUGGGACGCGCUAUAUGGUGAUCUGUUGAACACCGCCAACCUAGUAGUACCGUACAGUAAAAGAGAACUUCUUUUAUACGG